CGUAAUCACGCAUGUACGCACAACACGCAGGAGGCACGUAGUCAGCCAUGCAUAUAGACAGCCAAGUCAUUAUGAAUCUCGCAUUCUCGAAGACACGCACUGACGACAUCACGCACGUACGCACGCCCUGGCUGCUAGGAGACGCUAUUCCCUUUACCAGGCCCUCAUGCGGGCCAGCCAGCCAGGCAAAGGCCAGGGGAGCUCGAGACUGGCAACCUGGGCGAAGAACCGGAAGGAGGAAAAGGAAACGGAGGGAGAAAGAUCUCCCGCAUUGACUUUAUAAGCAAGUUUUGAGUCCCUGCCUCUGGAGUGCCUGAUGAGACAAAACUGCUCCUCGUCCUGCAUCCCCGCUGCUACUUCCAGAACUCAGGGCUCGUGGUCUGGAGCCUGCACUGUUCCAUGAGCCUCCUGACCAACCUGGAAGCCUCUGUCUUUCCUCCCUCAGUGAGAUGCACCUACUUCUCCCUGGAGAAGCUCGAGGAAGCAGGAAUACUGAAGAUGAGAGACCACAUCUGCUCAGGGGUUUAUUCUUCCAUCUGUUUGCAGGGCUGUUUUGGACUCAGUAUUCACCUAAGCACUCCAAACUGUAAGUAACCCCAGAGCUCAUGGAGUGUCCCACUGCCCCUCCAUCUGGAGGCUGUGGCACCUCCCCCGAAGAGGAGGUGCUUGCAUGCGUCCAGUGCCCUGCCCAUUAGAUUAGAGAGGGCUCCCUUCUUUGCUCUCUUGCACUCAUUUGUCUGCCUUUUAGCUUUCCUUUUCUGCCCUGGACUCACACAGGGUCGCGUGAACGUGUGGUGUAGCAGGAGGAGACAGGUAAAGUGGAGGAAUAGGAGCUGGAGGGGAGCAGAAGGGAAGAAAAGAGGAGGGGGAGGGGAAAGAGAGGGAGUGGGUGGAAGGAGGAGAAGGGGAGGAGGUGAAGGAGGAGAGGAGGACACAGAAAAGAGAAGAAAAAGGA